UACGAAGGGGGCUAGCGUUGCUCGGAAUUACUGGGCGUAAAGCGCACGUAGGCGGUCCUUUAAGUCGGGGGUGAAAUCCUGGAGCUCAACUCCAGAACUGCCUUCGAUACUGGAAGACUUGAGUCCGGGAGAGGUGCGUGGAACUGCGAGUGUAGAGGUGAAAUUCGUAGAUAUUCGCAAGAACACCAGUGGCGAAGGCGGCUCACUGGCCCGAUACUGACGCUGACGGUGCGAAAGCGUGGGGAGCAACAGGG
rnacentral:rRNA from 1 species